UACAGAGGUCCCAAGCGUUGUUCGGAUUCACUGGGCGUAAAGGGUGCGUAGGUGGCGGGGUAAGUUUGAUGUGAAAUCUCCGAGCUUAACUCGGAAAUGGCAUUGAAUACUAUCUUGCUUGAGGGUCGGAGGGGAGACUGGAAUUCUCGGUGUAGCAGUGAAAUGCGUAGAUAUCGAGAGGAACACCAGUGGCGAAGGCGAGUCUCUGGACGACAUCUGACACUGAGGCACGAAAGCUAGGGGAGCAAACAGG
rnacentral:rRNA from 1 species